rnacentral:rRNA from 1 species
CCCUUAGAUGUCCUGGGCCGCACGCGCGUUACACUGAUGCAUUCAACGAGCUUAUAACCUUGGCCGAGAGGCCUGGGCAAUCUUGUUAACGUGCAUCGUGAUAGGGAUAGAUUAUUGAAAUUAUUAAUCUUGAACGAGGAAUUUCUAGUAAACGCAGAUCAUCAAUCUGCAUUGAUUACGUCCCUGCCCUUUGUACACACCGCCCGUCGCACCUACCGAUUGGAUGGUCCGGUGAAGCCUCGGGAUUGUGGUUCUUGCCGCUUUAUUGUGGCGUGACCGCGAGAACUUGUCUAAACCUUAUCAUCUAGAGGAAGGUGAAGUCGUAACA